UUCAAUUCCAGUUAUUUAUUUUUUUCGUUACCAUAUAGAACAAUUAUACAUAUUUUUAAAUUAAUGUUGGAAAUUGAUUUCAAAAUGUAAUUAACUCAUUGUCGCCCGUAUUUAUGGUUAUAGAUCAGAGAGUAGAAGAUGGACAAGAGAUACAUGACCCUAUGAGUAUGUUCUGAGUGUGGGUAACAAGAAGAAAUUGUGAGAAAUAAGGAUAAUGAAAAUGAUAGAAAGGUAUUAGUAAUUCAAAUUCGUAACAAACGCUCGAUAAACUUUAUUUUUCCGUAUAUCACAUGGCACGAUCGGGAGCUUCCGAUCAAACGCAUAUAUAGCGAUCUGCAACGGUCGUAAUUUCCAUGUGCAUGCGUGUCAGAGCAUUAGAAAAAAUGUGUUAUUAGACGUGGCUUUCGCAAAACUCUCGAGUAUAAGAGAAUAUAUCGUCUCGACAUAGUAGGUCUUCGCUGCAAGCCCAGUAAGGCUGUGCUAUUAAGGCACUCUAUGCCAGGAAUAUGUUCAAAGUGCACGAGCGGUAUAAACAUGAUUCAUGAAAUAUAUAAUGUAUAUAUAAUAGAUAUCUCUAUAAAAGAAACGAAAGUACAUUGUAUGACAAAUGGUAAAUAAACAUACAUACAUAUGCAGACUCGUAGUUCAAGGGAAAUUAAAACUAGGCGUAUCCUAAAAAUAAUUGGACGGCGGUCUAUAACGUAUACCUACUUUAAUUGCGAUCCGUUUCCGUUUAGUUGUUCUGGGUGAUAAAGGGGAAUGUAUGCGAGAAUUCUUUUUGUAACGUUACUUUAGUUAGCGUGAAAAGACAAUUUAGAGACUCACAGAGGAUAUCAUUA